rnacentral:rRNA from 1 species
CGGCGUCGAGCGGCGGACGGGUGAGUAAUGCCUAGGAAAUUGCCCUGAUGUGGGGGAUAACCAUUGGAAACGAUGGCUAAUACCGCAUAAUGCCUACGGGCCAAAGAGGGGGACCUUCGGGCCUCUCGCGUCAGGAUAUGCCUAGGUGGGAUUAGCUAGUUGGUGAGGUAAUGGCUCACCAAGGCGACGAUCCCUAGCUGGUCUGAGAGGAUGAUCAGCCACACUGGAACUGAGACACGGUCCAGACUCCUACGGGAGGCAGCAGUGGGGAAUAUUGCACAAUGGGCGCAAGCCUGAUGCAGCCAUGCCGCGUGUGUGAAGAAGGCCUUCGGGUUGUAAAGCACUUUCAGUCGUGAGGAAGGUGGUGUAGUUAAUAGCUGCAUUAUUUGACGUUAGCGACAGAAGAAGCACCGGCUAACUCCGUGCCAGCAGCCGCGGUAAUACGGAGGGUGCGAGCGUUAAUCGGAAUUACUGGGCGUAAAGCGCAUGCAGGUGGUUUGUUAAGUCAGAUGUGAAAGCCCGGGGCUCAACCUCGGAAUAGCAUUUGAAACUGGCAGACUAGAGUACUGUAGAGGGGGGUAGAAUUUCAGGUGUAGCGGUGAAAUGCGUAGAGAUCUGAAGGAAUACCGGUGGCGAAGGCGGCCCCCUGGACAGAUACUGACACUCAGAUGCGAAAGCGUGGGGAGCAAACAGGAUUAGAUACCCUGGUAGUCCACGCCGUAAACGAUGUCUACUUGGAGGUUGUGGCCUUGAGCCGUGGCUUUCGGAGCUAACGCGUUAAGUAGACCGCCUGGGGAGUACGGUCGCAAGAUUAAAACUCAAAUGAAUUGACGGGGGCCCGCACAAGCGGUGGAGCAUGUGGUUUAAUUCGAUGCAACGCGAAGAACCUUACCUACUCUUGACAUCCAGAGAACUUUC